UAGGGAAUAUUGCAAAAUGGGCGAAAGCCCGAUGCAGCAACGCCGCGUGGGCGAUGAAGGCCUUCGGGUCGUAAAGCCCUUUUUGAGGGGAUGAGGAAGGACAGUACCCUCAGAAUAAGCCUCGGCUAACUACGUGCCAGCAGCCGCGGUAAAACGUAGGAGGCGAGCGUUAUCCGGAUUUACUGGGCGUAAAGCGCGUGCAGGCGGAUUGGAGAGUUGGAUGUGAAAGCUCCCGGCUUAACUGGGAGAGGUCGUUCAAUACUUCCAGUCUUGAGUGCAGUAGAGGGAAGUGGAAUUCCGGGUGUAGUGGUGAAAUGCGUAGAUAUCCGGAGGAACACCAGUGGCGAAAGCGGCUUCCUGGACUGUAACUGACGCUCAGACGCGAAAGCUAGGGUGGCAAACG
rnacentral:rRNA from 1 species